GUUUGGGUGCCCUAGCUUGUAAAUUAGCUGAAGGCUAGAAGUCAUUUAUAUAGAAUUUUCUUGUUGACACCCUAGGCUUAGGGGACUGGUUGUCUGUGGGGAUAGAUCAAAUUGUGUACCUUUCCAAAACAGGUUUUAAUGAUGUUUAAAAGUGGUCACUGAGAUAGUCUUGAGGAUGUGCUAUGCAGUAGCCAAGCCCUCUUACGGUGUGUUCCUCUCUUAGUGCCCCUUUCCUUUCCUACCUGUUCUUCCCUUGCAGUGGUGUAUUAGCCUUGGACAUUAAAACAUUUGCUUUGUAAAUUUGGAGGCAUUCUGAUUAAACAGCUGAGUAAAAC
rnacentral:lncRNA from 1 species